GAUAAUUAGAUCAAUUUAGGUUAAGCCCAAUGUGUACAAAAAUAUUUAGUAAACUUCUAUAAAGACUGCAGAACUUGUUGAGCACUGGAGAAAUAAAACCUGGUGAGAAACAAAUUUCUUGAAGAUAUAUUUCAUAGUGCCUGGGCAGUAAACUUUUUUACACACUGUUCUUUACAAUUUUUUACAAAGAAAAAAGAAGGGAGGUAGAGAACACACCCAGAUCUCCCAAUACAUUUUUAUGUUUGCUUGUUUUAAAUAGAAAAAAAAAAUUCCUAAUCGGAAACACUGAGGAUAAUUAGUUCUAUACAUGGUAUCUUUUUUUCUUAAAACAACAAUAACAAAAACAGCACAGCAACACAUUAAAUGAUUUCUGGCACCAUAUCAAAAAUCCAGAUAUUGAAAUAGAACAUUUAAAUGAUAAAAGCUUCAGUAAAUCCCUAAAAGCCCAAACUUAACAAUAUUUUUAAUACCCUACUCUUAGAAAAAUGUCACAUGUAUCGUAGGUAAUAAAAAUACACCAAAAAGGUGAUUAUUUUCUUGUGUUUCAAUGGAGUCGGGAGAAACACUGCCUCUGUAGUUAGCGAGGCUUUCUCCAAACUGCAGGCAGCCUGGGAGUCUUUCCAGGAAGACCUUGCAAAACAACAGUAUUCUGUACUCUGUGUAGAUACUUUGGAUCCUACAAAAGCACUUAGGGGUUUGUCCUCUGCUAAAAACAUUUUAGGAAAUCUGAGAUCCUGGUACAUUCCCAAGCUGGGUUUCCCCACCCACCUGCACACAACCACCUAUUCCAGUCCUGUCCUUCUGGUGCCCUUGCUACCCAGAGGGUUCUAAGCUAGCAAUUAGCAGCAAGUCUGGGCCCUGCCCAAAACCCAUUCCUCUCACUGCCUCACCAUCAAGCUAAAAAUCCUUACUCUAAUAAUAGAGUAUUGUUACAAAAGUAUAUGCACUUGUCAUGAGCACUGUACGGAAAAUCUACCUCAAUUUUUAAAUUUUUUUAAAUUAAUAAGCUGAUCCACAAUGCUCUGCAUGAUCUGACUCUGCUGUUUCUCCAAAUGUUUCUUGUGCCAAACUUCCCCCGCCAUCAACUGUCCUUGGGUCCCCAUGGAACUUAUUUUGGUUCCUCCAUGAGCAAGCUCUUUCCCUAUUCAAAGCCUUACACAUGGAGCUCCCUCUGCCUGGAAUGUCUUCAGCUGGCCCUGCCCCACUCUACCUGCUUUCUCCUCAGUUAACGCCUACUUCAGCCAGUCUCAGCCUGGGCACCUUUUCCUUCUUUCACCUUCACACACAAGCACCUGCUCACACAUACAGGCCAAGGCACCUCUCUGUUCCCUUAGCAUCCUCUACUUCCACCACCAUAGAACUCAUUGCAAAUGUGUCAGAUUAUAAGGUCCAUGGCGGCAGGCUCCAUGUUUUUAUUAUUCACUCUUACAGCAUUAGCACCUACCAUAAUGAUAAAUAUUCAUUUAAUGUAUAUCAUUAAAUACAUGGUAAAUAUUGGUAAAUAUUCAUUUAAUGUAUAUCAAAUGAAGGCAUGAGGGUAUUAGUCAUCUGAUCUAUAACCUUCUCUCCCCACUGUGCUGACUAUAAUGUGCUGCCUGACUUCUGUGUCUGUCAUCUCAAAGCCAACUGUUAAGGUAUCAUAUAGGUCUGACUCUAAUUCUGCUCAGGUUUCCUAUCUCAGAAGAAAUUUUCUAGGUUCAACAGAAUGCAAGUUAAGGUGCCAACAUGUGUUUAGUCGAUUAACAUGUACAUUUCAGGCACUUGUCUAAUCUCUCAGCCAACAGAAUUGGUUUGUCUAGACAAGGUUUUAUGUGAAACAUUCAGCUACAUGGCAUUGGUCAUUACAGCCAUUCUAAAGCAGUAGCCUCUCCUGAGAUGGAAUUAAUGACACGACACCUUCAAGCUUUCAACUUUGGAAAGUUAAAAAAAAAAAAGUAACCCGACUGAUUUCCCUAAAAAUUCUCUCCCUUGCAAGGUUGUUAUGAGCGGUGGGAAGGAAAAUGAGAAGGAUGAGUCAGUGUGAGUCAGUGUUAAGAAAAAAGCUCUGCUUCUGGUAAACAGUUUGCUCUUUUACAGACAGGAUUAGGAUUACCCGACUCCCAUUGCUAAAAAUACACAAAUAACAGGUGGUAUACAUUAUAUAAGUAGUUCCAAAACAGAGACUCAGAUCACUGACUCUAAAAAGGGAACAGUUAUAAUCAGCGAUUGGCCAGACCUUCUCCAAGGCCUGUUUCUUCUUGGAGAAGCCCCAGGACUAACUAAGCAUUUCCUUUAAGAUAAUUAAGAUCCUAAAUACUUCUACUGCUCACUCAACUGACCUAAAGGAACGACUGAGCCUCCCUUACAAGAGCUACCACUGAAUGAGCACCUAUUUUGUGCUCAACUGUGCCUGCACUUCAGAGAAUUCAUCUUUAAACUUGCAACAAUCCUGUAAGAUGGCUAUUAUUAUCAGCAUUUAUAAAAUCUAUCUAUAAGAUAAAAAAAUCUGGAGCUCGUGGAAGUUAAGUGAUUUAAGUGGCAGUGCCAUGAUUUUAACUCAGAUCUAACUUGGAAGUGCUUGUCUCCCUAUAUCUCAAACUCAGUUCAGGAAUGCAUAUAAAUCACCAGGUACAAAACAAGGUACCAAGUAUCACAAGGGAUACCAACAAGAGGCUCCUCCAAUGAUCAAGAAAGUAAAGAUGAAAGUGAGAUCAUCUAUGGGAGAUGCAUCUCUAUUUCAUGAACCUUGUACAAGGCUUGCCAUAUUCAACUGGCCUAGGGAAUUAUUACUGAAAUAUAUGUGGAAGGUAAGGGAAACAACACAAACGUAACACAGGCAGUCUGUGGUUAGCAUCAUGAGCAAGAACGUGCUAUGAGGUUUAGAUUAUAUCUGAUGCAGGGCUCUGAGGAAGAUCCAUGAGUAAGAUGGCAUUUGAGAUAAGCUUGACAAAUGGGACUUUUUGACAGGCAACAGUGAAAAGUAAAGAAAUGGUGGAGUCCAGGGAGCACUACAGUUGAGAUAAAUCCUUCAGCAUCUCUAUCUCUACCAAAACAGGGAAAAUAAAUCUGGAAAAGCAAACUGAGUGGGCCCUGAGUCUAAUUCAAGUCCUUUUAUAUAGAAAAGCACAAGAGUUAGAGAUAUUUCCUAAGCUGAUUCAGAUCAAUACAUGAGGAGACACUCUUAUUGGUUAAAUAAAUCAAGAACUGUCAUAUAGCCUUUCUGGAACAAAGUGGUAGUGUAGUGGUGGCAGUAGUGGGGGAUAGAAUUGACUAAAUUAAUAGAUCUACACAAAUACAGAACAUAUGUGGUAACACUACAGGUAAGUUCUACCACUUCCAUUACUUUAACACUGAAUCAUUACCCACAGAAGUAUGGGUUCUGUGAGUGUACAUUUUCUUUUAAUUUAACCUACAGCCCCAUCAUUAGAAGACCAGUUACGUCAAUAAUCUCAGGCUCAGUCACUAGAGAGCUUUCGGAAUUGGGGGAAGAAGAAAGGGCAUCUUUGGUUUCACAGUAUUUGACUGCCUACUCACUCAAAUGGGUAUUUAGAAGGUGGGGACAGGGACAGUAAAUGUCCAGCAAACUGUGAGGUAGUCUUACAGAAACAAAAUUGCCAUUACCCUGCCUAACUUGCAAAUACCAAGACAUUCAUGUAAGGGGAAAACCUGUUUAUAAUGAUCUGAGCCAACCACAAAUGUUGGAGAGGAUGCGGAGAAAAGGGAACCCUCUUACACUGUUGGUGGGAAUGUGAACUGGUGCAGCCACUCUGGAAAACUGUGUGGAGGUUCCUCAAAGAGUUAAAGAUAGACCUGCCCUACGACCCAGCAAUUGCACUGCUGGGGAUUUACCCCAAAGAUACAGAUGCAGUGAAACGCCGGGACACCUGCACCCCGAUGUUUAUAGCAGCAAUGUCCACAAUAGCCAAACUGUGGAAGGAGCCUCGGUGUCCAUCGAAAGAUGAAUGGAUAAAGAAGAUGUGGUUUAUGUAUACAAUGGAAUAUUACUCAGCCAUUAGAAACGACAAAUACCCACCCUUUGCUUAAAUGUGGAUGGAACUGGAGGGUAUUAUGCUGAGUGAAGUAAGUCAAUCGGAGAAGGACAAACAUUAUAUGGUCUCAUUCAUUUGGGGAAUAUAAAUAAUAGUGAAAGGGAAUAUAAGGGAAGGGAGAAGAAAUGUGUGGGAAAAUAUCAGAAAGGGAGACAGAACAUAAAGACUCCUAACUCUGGGAAACGAACUGGGGGUGGUGGAAGGGGAGGAGGGCAGGGGGUGGGGGUGAAUGGGUGACGGGCACUGAGUGGGGCACUUGACGGGAUGAGCACUGGGUGUUAUUCUGUAUGUUGGCAAAUUGAACACCAAUAAAAAAUAAAUUUAUGGGGAUCCCUGGGUG
rnacentral:lncRNA from 1 species